rnacentral:rRNA from 1 species
GCUUAACACAUGCAAGUCGAGGGGCAGCAUGGUCUUAGCUUGCUAAGGCCGAUGGCGACCGGCGCACGGGUGAGUAACACGUAUCCAACCUGCCGUCUACUCUUGGACAGCCUUCUGAAAGGAAGAUUAAUACAAGAUGGCAUCAUGAGUCCGCAUGUUCACAUGAUUAAAGGUAUUCCGGUAGACGAUGGGGAUGCGUUCCAUUAGAUAGUAGGCGGGGUAACGGCCCACCUAGUCUUCGAUGGAUAGGGGUUCUGAGAGGAAGGUCCCCCCCAUUGGAACUGAGACACGGUCCAAACUCCUACGGGAGGCAGCAGUGAGGAAUAUUGGUCAAUGGGCGAGAGCCUGAACCAGCCAAGUAGCGUGAAGGAUGACUGCCCUAUGGGUUGUAAACUUCUUUUAUAAAGGAAUAAAGUCGGGUAUGGAUACCCGUUUGCAUGUACUUUAUGAAUAAGGAUCGGCUAACUCCGUGCCAGCAGCCGCGGUAAUACGGAGGAUCCGAGCGUUAUCCGGAUUUAUUGGGUUUAAAGGGAGCGUAGAUGGAUGUUUAAGUCAGUUGUGAAAGUUUGCGGCUCAACCGUAAAAUUGCAGUUGAUACUGGAUAUCUUGAGUGCAGUUGAGGCAGGCGGAAUUCGUGGUGUAGCGGUGAAAUGCUUAGAUAUCACGAAGAACUCCGAUUGCGAAGGCAGCCUGCUAAGCUGCAACUGACAUUGAGGCUCGAAAGUGUGGGCAUCAAACAGGAUUAGAUACCCUGGUAGUCCACACGGUAAACGAUGAAUACUCGCUGUUUGCGAUAUACUGCAAGCGGCCAAGCGAAAGCGUUAAGUAUUCCACCUGGGGAGUACGCCGGCAACGGUGAAACUCAAAGGAAUUGACGGGGGCCCGCACAAGCGGAGGAACAUGUGGUUUAAUUCGAUGAUACGCGAGGAACCUUACCCGGGCUUAAAUUGCAGAUGAAUUACGGUGAAAGCCGUAAGCCGCAAGGCAUCUGUGAAGGUGCUGCAUGGUUGUCGUCAGCUCGUGCCGUGAGGUGUCGGCUUAAGUGCCAUAACGAGCGCAACCCUUGUUGUCAGUUACUAACAGGUUCCGCUGAGGACUCUGACAAGACUGCCAUCGUAAGAUGUGAGGAAGGUGGGGAUGACGUCAAAUCAGCACGGCCCUUACGUCCGGGGCUACACACGUGUUACAAUGGGGGGUACAGAGGGCCGCUACCACGCGAGUGGAUGCCAAUCCCCAAAACCUCUCUCAGUUCGGACUGGAGUCUGCAACCCGACUCCACGAAGCUGGAUUCGCUAGUAAUCGCGCAUCAGCCACGGCGCGGUGAAUACGUUCCCGGGCCUUGUACACACCGCCCGUCAAGCCAUGGGAGCCGGGGGUACCUGAAGUGCGUAACCGCGAGGAGCGCCCUAGGGUAAAACUGGUGACUGGGGCUAA